UUUUCCGGUUGAUCCUGCCGGACCUGACUGCUAUCGGAUUGAUACUAAGCCAUGCGAGUCAUUGUAGCAAUACAAGGCAGACGGCUCAGUAACGCGUAGUCAAUCUACCCUAUGGACGGGAAUAACCUCGGGAAACUGAGAAUAAUGCCCGAUAGAACAUUAUGCCUGGAAUGGUUUAUGUUUCAAAUGAUUUAUCGCCAUAGGAUGGGACUGCGGCCUAUCAGUUUGUUGGUGAGGUAAUGGCCCACCAAGACUAUUACAGGUACGGGCUCUGAGAGGAGUAGCCCGGAGAUGGGUACUGAGACACGGACCCAGGCCCUAUGGGGCGCAGCAGGCGAGAAAACUUUGCAAUGUGCGAAAGCACGACAAGGUUAAUCCGAGUGGUUUCUGCUAAAGAAACCUUUUGUCAGUCCUAGAAACACUAACGAAUAAGGGGUGGGCAAGUUCUGGUGUCAGCCGCCGCGGUAAAACCAGCACCUCAAGUGGUCAGGAUGAUUAUUGGGCCUAAAGCAUCCGUAGCUCGUUUUGUAAGUUUUCGGUUAAAUCCAUGCGCUUAACGUAUGGGCUGCCGGGAAUACUGCAUAACUAGGAAGUGGGAGAGGUAGACGGUACUCGGUAGGAAGGGGUAAAAUCCUUUGAUCUAUUGAUGACCACCUGUGGCGAANGCGGUCUACCAGAACACGUUCGACGGUGAGGGAUGAAAGCUGGGGGAGCAAACCGGAUUAGAUACCCGGGUAGUCCCAGCUGUAAACUAUGCAAACUCAGUGAUGCAUUGGCUUACGGCCAAUGCAGUGCUGCAGGGAAGCCGUUUAAGUUUGCCGCCUGGGAAGUACGUACGCAAGUAUGAAACUUAAAGGAAUUGGCGGGGGAGCAC
rnacentral:rRNA from 1 species